GACGAACCGUGCGAACGUUAUUCGGAAUCACUGGGCUUAAAGGGCGCGUAGGUGGGCCACCAAGUCAGGGGUGAAAUCCCACGGCUCAACCGUGGAAGUGCCCUUGAUACUGGUGGCCUCGAGGGAGGCAGGGGCGUGCGGAACUUUGGGUGGAGCGGUGAAAUGCGUAGAUAUCCAAAGGAACACCGGUGGCGAAAGCGGCGCGCUGGACCUCUUCUGACGCUGAGGCGCGAAAGCCAGGGGAGCAAACGGG
rnacentral:rRNA from 1 species